CGUAAGCGCGCGCAGGUGGUUUCUUAAGUCUGAUGUGAAAGCCCCCGGCUCAACCUGGGAACUGCAUUCGGAAACUGGCGAGACUUGAGUGUGGAAGAGGAUGGUGGAAUUCCCUGUGUAGCGGUGAAAUGCGUAGAUAUAUGAAGGAACACCAGUGGCGAAGGCGACUUUCUGGUCUGUUACUGACACUGAGGCGCGAAAGCGUGGGGAGCAAACAGGAUUAGAUACCCUGGUAGUCCACGCCGUAAACGAUGACUGCUAACCGUUGGAAGCCUUCCGAUCUUUAUGGCUCAACUUAACGCUUUAAUCACUCCGCCGGGGAAGUCCGGCCCCAAGGUUGAACUUCAAUGGAUUUGACGGGGGCCCCCCCAACCGGGGAACCUGGUGGUUUAUUUCAAACCACCCCGAAAAACCUUACCAGGCCUGGCCUUCCUAUGACUUUCCUAAAGAUAAUUGUUCUCCUUCGGAA
rnacentral:rRNA from 1 species